rnacentral:rRNA from 1 species
GCCUUCGGGCUGAGGGCACGUCUGCUUGGGUGUCA